UUCUGCCGCGGCGCGCGCCCCGCCUCUCGUUUUAUAUUCUCCUCCCUGCCCCCCAUCCCCUCCGUGGGGGUGCGCGCGCCCGUCCGCGUCACACAACUCGGGGCGGCGUAACCAUUCCCCGCCCUCUGCUCCCCGCACUCCGGACCCUAGUUGCUGGUUCCGCCCCUGCCCAGCCCCCCGACGCCAUUGGCCAAGUCCCGCCUGCCCUGGUCCUGACGGGCGGUAGACGACCGGGGUGGGGAAGGCCACACCCCCUGUAUCCGAGAUGGCCAAUGAGCCCACGACCUGGAGAGAGCGUGGGCGGGAUUAAGAGAAAAUUUGGAAAGGGAUUGGAGGAGAGACGCGCCAAUGCAGAUGACAUCCCAGGGCAUCUACCUGACUACCAGUGGUUAUUUCUGGAGGUGCUGGCAGUACAAGGCCAGUCCAAUGCAGCAAGAAAACAAGCACCAAAACAAGACAAUAACACACAAAGGGCCGCCCUCUGUUGCCGUGCAAGAGGAGACGUUUGUUUGCAAGGAAGGGUGUCUUGUUUGGGAUGAAUGUGGAAGGAGGGUCAGGGAUAAGAGAACCACCAGAUUAAUGGGGAUCGAAAGAGAUAAACUUCUGAACACCCAACAAAAUAGUUGAGACGCUCACCCUCCCACUUCCUGGCUGCUGGGACAAUGUCAUCCACAUCAUCAUCACGUGAGCAAGGGGCAGCUGCACCUUGAGACAAUCUCCACCCUAAGCCUUUAUCUGCUCAAAUGGACUCCUCCCCUGCUCUGACCUCUUGCCCAGCUCAGGGCUGAUGGGACUCCCUGGUGCCCAUUAGGAGGCCCAGAGGGGCCAAACUCCCAAGCACUCGAGGAAGAAACCAGUUCCACCCAGCCCUCAUCCUGUCCCUGAAGCUUCUGUAUUUUCAAUUUUAUUUCUGGUUCCUGAGAUGUCUGUGUCCUCCUCCUUGUGGGGCUGAGGUCCCCUUGAGAGUGGAGCCCUAUCUCAAAGUGCACUUCUCAAAGUGCCUGUCACAGAGGCUCAUGCUCGGCACGCGAUCGACAAAUGUGUGUUGAAUAAGGGAAUCACAUUCAUAGCCACAAAUAUAUCCACAAAGGUCUUCACUUGUUGGGUUUUUCCGAAGGGGUAGGCAUGGAGAGUUAGGAAUGGGGAGGAAACAGGCAAUUUAAAAUGAUCAAAAGAUGUUCCUGCCUUCAAUAGCUUACACAUGGGUCCAAGAGGCAGAAUCCCACACAGAUCUGGGUUAAUGACCAUUUAGUUCCUUGAUAUUUUCUACAGACUGUGUCCCAAUUUGAGAAAGCUUUCUUCAUUGCACCCCCUGUUCCCACGGGGCCACUGCAGCCCAGCUGCAAAACAGGAGAAGGUGGAAAGAAGUGCUGGGCCUGUAUCCGUGGUUUCCAGGGCUGAGCUAAAUUCUCAUGUUCAGUGCUGGUUCUGGGUCAUUGAGGCUGAGGUCAAGUCCCGGGGUCCCAGAUGGGGUUCCAAUGGAAAGUGGGCAGAAGCAAGAGGAACAGAAUGUAGGAUCCUGUCAAAGUCCUUCAGGUCCAGCUAGAGUAAGGCCGUUCAGGGGCCAGGCACAAAUGGCAGGCGAGACAACUGAGUGGGAGAGGCCCCAGGUGGCCCUGGAAUGGAGUGGGAGUAGGCUGGGCCCGAAGUGAGAAGGCCACUGCCUCCAUGGGCGACCUGAAAUAUCUACAGCAGGACCUCAGAGGUGCCAGCUAGGAAGGCACAAAUGGGUGAGGUCAGCACAUCACUCAGGGCCAGGACAGACACCGUGUACCUGGCCACUGAGCCUUUGCCAUGGCCCUCACACCCAAGCCCAGGAGGGAGGUAGCCGAGUCCCUGUGUGUGAGCCCGUCCUAUGUUCUGCCCUGCCCAUCAGCCCUGCUCCAUGACAACGCUUCACCCUGUGGGGUGCCAUCUGAGAAA